rnacentral:lncRNA from 1 species
GUCUGGGCGCGUUGGGCUCGUCCCGGUGCCGGAAACGAGCGCUGCCCGGCGAGCGGCCUUGGGGACCCAGGGCUAGGGCCCGUGGCCUACACGAGGCCAGAGAUCCCCACUGGCCCCGAGAGGCCGCCCAGCGCUGGAGGUGCGGCCAGAGCUGCAGCCAAGCCCCCGAGGCGAUCUGCUGUUAGGCCACAACCUGGGCUCGCCUAGUGCCCGAGGCCCAAGUCGCAGUUCUCGUGAAAACGAAAAGGAGAUCGGCUAUGCCCUGGACACAAAGGAAGACCCGCGGGAUGUCCACCCCACAGGCCAAAAGCUCUUAAGACCAAAACGGUCUUUCAGGGCGCGGUUGCACGGUAGCACCCCCAUUUCCCAAACCGCAGAUUAAAACUGCGCGGGGUCCAGAGUUGGAGCGUGGAAGGGCCCGCAGGAGUGAAAGUGCGUACACCUGAUGCGGGACGGGAACUGCCGGGCGCGCACGGCUGCAGCCCCCACCCGCAGGCUGUUUCAGCCGGCAGCGUAUUUCUCAGUUGCCUGCGCCUGGUUUUUUGAAAUGUGCCGAA